rnacentral:rRNA from 1 species
UGAGGAAUAUUGGUCAAUGGACGAGAGUCUGAACCAGCCAAGUAGCGUGAAGGAUGACUGCCCUAUGGGUUGUAAACUUCUUUUAUACGGGAAUAAAGUUAGCCACGUGUGGCUUUUUGUAUGUACCGUAUGAAUAAGGAUCGGCUAACUCCGUGCCAGCAGCCGCGGUAAUACGGAGGAUCCGAGCGUUAUCCGGAUUUAUUGGGUUUAAAGGGAGCGUAGGCGGGUUGUUAAGUCAGUUGUGAAAGUUUGCGGCUCAACCGUAAAAUUGCAGUUGAUACUGGCGACCUUGAGUGCAACAGAGGUAGGCGGAAUUCGUGGUGUAGCGGUGAAAUGCUUAGAUAUCACGAAGAGCUCCGAUUGCGAAGGCAGCUUACUGGAUUGUAACUGACGCUGAUGCUCGAAAGUGUGGGUAUCAAACAGGAUUAGAUACCCUGGUAGUCCACACAGUAAACGAUGAAUACUCGCUGUUGGCGAUAUACGGUCAGCGGCCAAGCGAAAGCAUUAAGUAUUCCACCUGGGGAGUACGCCGGCAACGGUGAAACUCAAAGGAAUUGACGGGGGCCCGCACAAGCGGAGGAACAUGUGGUUUAAUUCGAUGAUACGCGAGGAACCUUACCCGGGCUUAAAUUGCAACUGACUGAACCGGAAACGGUUCCUUCUUCGGACAGUUGUGAAGGUGCUGCAUGGUUGUCGUCAGCUCGUGCCGUGAGGUGUCGGCUUAAGUGCCAUAACGAGCGCAACCCUUAUCGAUAGUUACUAGCAGGUCAUGCUGAGGACUCUAUUGAGACUGCCGUCGUAAGAUGUGAGGAAGGUGGGGAUGACGUCAAAUCAGCACGGCCCUUACGUCCGGGGCUACACACGUGUUACAAUGGGGGGUACAGAAGGCAGCUACACGGCGACGUGGUGCUAAUCCCGAAAGCCUCUCUCAGUUCGGAUUGGAGUCUGCAACCCGACUCCAUGAAGCUGGAUUCGCUAGUAAUCGCGCAUCAGCCACGGCGCGGUGAAUACGUUCCC